GAGCAGGCAGCAAAUGGGGUUAACAGUGGCAAAGGCAGGUUGGCAUGGCAGAGAGACUGCAGUAAAGGCAGUAAUCAAAUCAUAAGAUCACGUGAUUGCCUGUUGAAUGGAGUUGGUCUGAGGAAUGGAAGAAGCUCUCGGGAUGCCAGUCAAAGUUGCAUCACAUGAUCUCCUGCAUCCAUUAGAAAAUGAGUUUGAUGAAAAUUCCAGCAUAGAUCAACCUUGUCAUCAAUAAACCCCAUGGUCUUUGGCUGCUGCCUUUCUUCUUCCCACUUCUUUCUCAGUUGGCAUAUGUACAUCUGAUAGAAUCAAGGGAGAUGAUGAAGGAUAGAUGCAGAUCUUUCUUAGGUGCUGCUCCUGCUGUGCUGAAGCUAUUUCUGAUAAUUUUCCUUCUCAGCUCUUAUGGUAUUGUUGGAGUUCAAGCAAAAAAGCUGCUACCUCCGAAUGCAGUAUCUCAUACGACGCAGGAGCACCAACAACUGAAGGUUGAUAGAAGCUCGAGCACACCUACAAGACAGACAAGGGUGAGCCUUAGGAGGAUACCCCCUUCGAACUCCAACCCAACUCAGAACAAGUCGCGGCCACGGUUCGAUGGAUCAGGCUCGAGGAAUCCUUGAGGUAGCAUUGAGAAAAGCAAUUUAGAUGAGAGGUGAAGAGUGGAUUAGACAUAGCUCAUGUAACAUACUUUUAAAUGCUUUAGAGUAGUUCUCUGUUUUGACCACCUGUUGUAUUCUCCGACCUGCAUUGUUCUCUCUGCAUCUCUGCUUCCGAGAUCACAGAGAGUUAACAUAUUUUUUGCU